rnacentral:rRNA from 1 species
UGGGGAAUAUUGCACAAUGGGCGCAAGCCUGAUGCAGCCAUGCCGCGUGUAUGAAGAAGGCCUUCGGGUUGUAAAGUACUUUCAGCGGGGAGGAAGGCGAUAAGGUUAAUAACCUUGUCGAUUGACGUUACCCGCAGAAGAAGCACCGGCUAACUCCGUGCCAGCAGCCGCGGUAAUACGGAGGGUGCAAGCGUUAAUCGGAAUUACUGGGCGUAAAGCGCACGCAGGCGGUCUGUCAAGUCGGAUGUGAAAUCCCCGGGCUCAACCUGGGAACUGCAUUCGAAACUGGCAGGCUAGAGUCUUGUAGAGGAGGGUAGAAUUCCAGGUGUAGCGGUGAAAUGCGUAGAGAUCUGGAGGAAUACCGGUGGCGAAGGCGGCCCCCUGGACAAAGACUGACGCUCAGGUGCGAAAGCGUGGGGAGCAAACA